rnacentral:rRNA from 1 species
AGAGUUUGAUCCUGGCUCAGAACGAACGCUGGUAGCGUGGAUUACGCAUGCAAGUCGAACGGGAUCGGAGAUGUAGCAAUACAUCUCCGUGAGAGUGGCGGAUUGGGGAGGAACACGUGAGCUACCUGCCCUUGAGUUCGGGAAAACCGUUGGAAACGACUGCUAAUACCGCAUAAUGUCUUCUGACCGCAUGAUCUGAAGACCAAAGGAGCAAUUCACUGAAAGAUGGCCUCUCGUCUGAUUAGAUAGGUGGUGGGGCAACGGCCUACCAAGUCGACGAUCGAUAGCCGGGCUGAGAGGAUGAACGGCCACAUUGGGACUGAGAUUCGGCCCACACUCCUACGGGAGGCAGCAUUGGGGAAUAUUGGGCAAUGGGGGAAACCCUGACCCAGCAACGCCGCGUGAAGGAAGAAGGCCUUCGGGUUGUAAACUUCUUUUACCAGGGACGAAGAAAGUGACGGUUCCUGGAGAAAAAGCCCCGGCUAACUUCGUGCCAGCAGCCGCGGUAAUACGUAGGUGGCAAGCGUUGUCCGGAUUUACUGGGUGUAAAGGGCGUGUAGGCGGAGUGUCAAGUCAGAAGUGAAAUCCAUGGGCUCAACCCGUGAACUGCUUUUGAAACUGACACCCUUGAGUAUCGGAGAGGCAGAUGGAAUUCCUCGUGUAGCGGUGAAAUGCGUAGAUAUUAGGAGGAACCCCCGUGGGGAAGGCGAUCUGCUGGACGACAACUGACGCUGAGGCGCGAAAGCGUGGGGAGCAAACCGGAUUAGAUACCCCUGGUAGUCCACCGAUGAAACGUAGGAAUGGUAGGUGUGGGAGGAUCUGACCCCUUCCGUGCCGGCGUUAACUCAAUAAGUAUUCCACCUGGGGAGUAGGAUGGCAAGAUUGAAACUCAAAGGAGAUUGACGGGGGCCCCGCACAACCAGUGGAUUAUGUGGUUUAAUUCGACGCAACGUGAAGAACCUUACCGGGAUUUGACAUCCCACUAGAGAAGUAGAGAUCCAUUAGGUGCCCUUCGGGGAAAGUGGAGACAGGUGGUGCAUGGUUGUCGUCAGCUCGUGUCGUGAGAUGUUGGUUUAAGUCCCGCAACGAGCGCAACCCUUAUUGUUAGUUGGUAGGAAAGAGCACUCUAGCGAGACUGCCGUUGACAAAACGGAGGAAGGCGGGGACGACGUCAAAUCAUCAUGCCCCUUAUGUCCCGGGCUACACACGUAAUACAAUGGCGGUUAACAGAGGGAAGCAAAGCUGCGAGGCGGAGCAAUCCCCUAAAAAGCGUCUCAGUUCGGAUUGCAGUCUGCAACUCGCCUGCAUGAAGUUGGAAUUGCUAGUAAUCGCGGAUCAGCAUGCCGCGGUGAAUACGUACCCGGGCCUUGCACACACCGCCCGUCA